rnacentral:rRNA from 1 species
GAUGAACGCUAGCGGCAGGCUUAAUACAUGCAAGUCGAGGGACAGCACAGGUAGCAAUACUGGGUGGUAACCGGCAAACGGGUGCGGAACACGUACACAACCUUCCUUUAAGUGGGGGAUAGCCCAGAGAAAUUUGGAUUAAUACCCCGUAAUAUAGUUGAAUGGCAUCAUUUGAUUAUUAUAGCUACGGCGCUUAAUGAUGGGUGUGCGGCUGAUUAGAUAGUUGGCGGGGUAACGGCCCACCAAGUCUACGACCAGUAGCUGAUGUGAGAGCAUGAUCAGCCACACGGGCACUGAGACACGGGCCCGACUCCUACGGGAGGCAGCAGUAAGGAAUAUUGGUCAAUGGACGCAAGUCUGAACCAGCCAUGCCGCGUGAAGGAUUAAGGUCCUCUGGAUUGUAAACUUCUUUUAUUUGGGACGAAAAAGGGCCUUUCUAGGUCAACUGACGGUACCAGAUGAAUAAGCACCGGCUAACUCCGUGCCAGCAGCCGCGGUAAAAC